CUCAUUUUUUGUAAAUUAACCAAAUUUUUUGUAAAUUAACUUUCCCUUGUCCUUUUUUGUUUGUGGGAAAAAGCGGGAGGAUUUUUCAAAAUGCGGGAGGAAAAGUCAAUGCGGGAAAUUUGCGGGGAAAGUGAUCAAAUGCGGGAGCCUCGUGCAGGAUGCGGGAGGGUUGGCAACUAUGUUAACGUAUUAAAUUAAAUAAGUUGUUGAAGCAAAUGCAAUUAUAAUGAUUAUAAAGCCGGGAAAAUUAUUAGAAUUUGUUACUGUUUUGAACACUGCAUAUGAUCUCUCUCUUUUAAAAUUUUAAGGUUGACAGGUCUACCUCAACCCUCCUGAUCUAUUAACGUGCAAAAUAUAAUAAAAUUAAAAAAUAAAUAAAUACCCACACAGAGCCUGGGCCACCUGUGCAUUCAGCAGCAAACAUUCUCAUGCAACCACAGAGAAGAGAUGUACAGAGAGGAAACACGC